rnacentral:piRNA from 1 species
CAACUGCUUGCAUCAGGAGCACCCA